GAUGAACGCUGGCGGCGUGCCUAAUACAUGCAAGUCGAGCGAACGUCAUAGAAGCUUGCUUCUAUGACGUUAGCGGCGGACGGGUGAGUAACACGUGUGCAACCUGCCUGUAAGACUGGGAUAACUUGGGAAACCGAAGCUAAUACCGGAUAGGAUCUUCUCCUUCAUGGGAGAUGAUUGAAAGAUGGUUUCGGCUAUCACUUACAGAUGGGCCCGCGGUGCAUUAGCUAGUUGGGGAGGCAACGGCUCACCAAGACAACGAUGCAUAGCCGACCUGAGAGGGUGAUCGGCCACACUGGGACUGAGACACGGCCCAGACUCCUACGGGAGGCAGCAGUAGGGAAUCUUCCGCAAUGGACGAAAGUCUGACGGAGCAACGCCGCGUGAGUGAUGAAGGCUUUCGGGUCGUAAAACUCUGUUGUUAGGGAAGAACAAGUACGAGAGUAACUGCUCGUACCUUGACGGUACCUAACCAGAAAGCCACGGCUAACUACGUGCCAGCAGCCGCGGUAA
rnacentral:rRNA from 1 species